rnacentral:rRNA from 1 species
UACAGAGACUGCAAGCGUUGUUCGGAUUCACUGGGCGUAAAGCGCGCGUAGGCGGCUUUGCAAGUCGGGUGUGAAAUCCCCAGGCUUAACCUGGGAACUGCAUUCGAGACUGCAUUGCUAGAGUAUGGGAGAGGGAAGUGGAAUUUCCGGUGUAGCGGUGAAAUGCGUAGAUAUCGGAAGGAACAUCAGUGGCGAAAGCGACUUCCUGGACCAAUACUGACGCUCAUGUGCGAAAGCGUGGGGAGCAAACAGG